rnacentral:rRNA from 1 species
UGUUUCCUACGGGAGGCAGCAGUGGGGGAUAUUGCACAAUGGGGGGAACCCUGAUGCAGCGACGCCGCGUGGGUGAAGGAGCGUUUCGGCGCGUAAAGCCCUAUCGGCAGGGAAGAAGAUGACGGUACCUGACCAAGAAGCCCCGGCUAACUACGUGCCAGCAGCCGCGGUAAUACGUAGGGGGCAAGCGUUAUCCGGAUUUACUGGGUGUAAAGGGAGCGUAGGCGGCCUGGCAAGCCUGAUGUGAAAUACCGGGGCCCAACCCCGGGGC